rnacentral:rRNA from 1 species
AUACGGAGGGGGUUAGCGUUGUUCGGAAUUACUGGGCGUAAAGCGCACGUAGGCGGGUUGGAAAGUUGGGGGUGAAAUCCCAGGGCUCAACCCUGGAACUGCCUCCAAAACUAACAGUCUAGAGUUCGAGAGAGGUGAGUGGAAUUCCAAGUGUAGAGGUGAAAUUCGUAGAUAUUUGGAGGAACACCAGUGGCGAAGGCGGCUCACUGGCUCGAUACUGACGCUGAGGUGCGAAAGCGUGGGGAGCAAACAGGAUUAGAAACCCCAGUAGUCC